CUUGUACAGACCAUUGUGGAUGGCGAGGCGGCCAGGGCUCUAUCAGCAAUUGCAGGGACCUCCUUUUGAUGCAUUGGAUGAGGGCAUUGACAUUCAACCAUCGCAAGUCUGUCGCACUCUCGCAGGCAGGAAAAAAAAAUAAAAUCGGAGUGGAUAAUUCUCUUCUUCCUCCUAAAGGGCUCUGAUAGAGCACAAUGCGCCACACACACCGAGCAGCAUGGCUUAUUUUUCGUGCGGCUCCUGCCGCUUUGGCAACAUCGAGCUGGUGUGUGCGUGUGUGCCUUUCUCCCUCAGCAGCCUUCUCUCUGCUCUCCCAUCCGGCUUGCAGUGAUGAUGUUGCUGUUGCUAUCUCCCUUGGAUGCAAUAGGGAAGGCAGAUUGUUUGCAGUGCAAGCGGGGAUUUGCAGGAAGGGAGGGGUGUAACGUGGCUGCGCUCUCCUCCCUCCCCCGGCUUUAAAAAAAAAAUAAAAU